GAGGGUAUGGUUGAUUGGAAAAAACACAGGACUUAAAAUCCUGGCCUUAGUGGCUGUGGUGGGUUCGAUUCCCCCUACCCUCA
rnacentral:tRNA from 1 species